UGCGGUUCUCAGGUGACGCACCCCAGGUUCUGGCUCCCUCCUCUCUGGUUCCAGGUGCGUCACCCAAGAACCGCA
rfam:Myotis brandtii contig210429, whole genome shotgun sequence.